AGAGCAGCGAGCGGGUGGGGAGCAGCCGGGGCGAGAAUGAGCGCAAUCUUGCUAACCCCUGCGGAGGGAGCGCGCGGGCGCCAACGCGGGCGCGCGGGGGCGGGCCCUGGACCUGGACCUUGGGUUUCGGCCCUCCUCCGCGCCCCGCGGUCUCGCGGGCGAAGUUUCAGUCCUGAGUGUAAAGAAUAACCCCAAGCGCGUGGCUAAGUGCGAGCAGGCGCGUGUGACGUCGGGAGGCGCCGCGGCUCCUCGGCCGCCCCACUCGGUGGUCCCCUGUCUGGAUCCAAACUGCUGACUGGCUGACCCGAGUGGUCACAUUUGCCCUCUGGGGCUUUUGAAAACCUUAAAUCAAAAUUGCUUUUGAAUCUGACAACUCCUGAGGCUACUUUCGCGGCCUCGGGGCUGUUUCAUAUAAGGACGCGAGUUUUCCUGAUCAGGUCUGUCGGCCACGUUACGAUUUCCAAUUUGCGAUCCAUCAGUUACUUCCAUUGGGUCUUCAGCCCCCAGGGACUGUGGAUCCUAGACCCCGCGGAGAAGCCCGUGGACUGGAGCUGUGUCAGCUCUGAUGGUAGGAAAGACUAGAUCAAUGACGCGGGCAUUUCAGGACAUAAUCGUAUAUUUUCAAGUUCGAGUUUUUCGGGCUUGGAUUAUCCAGAUAAUUGCCUCCAGUCUCCUCCAGUCCCCCUGGUGUAUGCACUCGCAGCCGCAGAGUUAGAGUCCGGGAGGUGAAGAUUGGCGCUUGGAAAUUAGAUUUGGUUUCUAAAGUAUGAAUUCGUGUCCAACAGUUCGUGCCUUGGACAACGUGGGUUGUAUAAAACUCAAGCUGUGUGUUUAAAACAGGUUUUCUAGCUGCUGGUUCUCUCCAAGUUAUGUAGGACUUUUGAACUGGCCACCCCGCUGUGCGUCUGCGAGGGCAGGGACUGAGCGAGACCCAGCCAGGGGCGCCGGGAGACUGGCGGCGGCUGGGUUGGGGUCCAGCCGGAAACCACACGUUGGCAGGGCCGCUUGGUCAGUAGUGGAGAGAGCCUCUGAGAAAGGGCCGUCUAUCGAUCCCCAGACCCCUCCGUCACGGAGGGAUUCAUAGCUUCCUGGGGAUCGGCCCAGGGCGUCCCUUUGACACUCCGUUCUCUGUCCACACAAGCCCGGCGCGGGGCGGGGAGAAGAGGAAAGGACGCGACUGGGAAAGACGGGACCCUGGCGGGGUUUGGCCCGGGGGAGAGCGGGAAGGAGCCCGGUCGGCGCGGAGGACCUGCGGCCAGCGUGCUAAGCCCUUAUUAGAACAGAAACCCCUUUCCCCCCACACUCUCAUCUCUUUUGCGCGGUCCCCACCGCCAUGCCUUCAAUAACCUUGUGAAUAGAAACCCGAAUCGUUCCAUCUUGGCUUCUGAAACUUAACCCCAGGCAAAGCACACACUCGGCGGGGCCAGGUGGGGCUGGAUGGGGUCCGCGCCCGACGGCGGGGCCGCGGGGGUCGGUGAACCCCAGCUCCCCUGUCGGCCUCAGGGCGGAUGGCUGGGUCGGCGCGGGGUUCGGGGCCUCCGAUCGGCUGCACGAGGGCGGGCCAGGACCCAGACCCCGUCCCCGCUCCGGCCCCGCAAUCCAGCGGGUGACGAGCCUGACGCGCGCCGGUCGCCUGCCACCUCCCGCCCCGAGCGCCCUGGGCCAGUACCUCCCGGCCGCAGGUGAACGCUCCGCGGCCCGCCAGGCUCAAGCUCGACCGUCACAACUUUCCGUGAGGGCUGCACGUUUUUCUGAAUUCAAAUGCCUGCAGGUGCAACUCAUGUUUGCCACACGGGCAAUUAGCGGGCGCGUCCAAACGCCUGAGGCAAAACCUGAGAUCAUCACUGAAAAAAAAAAAUCUAACAGUUCUUUGCCACUAUACUAGUGUAUUUAAUUAUGAUUGCGAAAAAUUGCAGAGGGAAACGAUUUGCUGGCAAUUAAGUAGCAACUGGUUAAAGUUUUUUUUCAAUUUGUCUUUGAAGACAACUGCUGUACUAUGUAUAAAGAAGAGUAUAGCAGGGAAGUUCGAAAGCACACACGGAAUUUUAAAUCUGUUAAAAAUAUUUUUUAAGCAAAGAAGGUGGUAUUUUAAAAGCAUUUAAAACAGCGCCUGGUAUAUAGUAAGCGCCAUAGAAGUCUGUUAAGAAUGCAUAGGGCAAGAGAGCUCAGGGUUUUGAACGCUAUCAAAAUAAUAUGCUUAUUUAUCUGCAAAACACAAUAGCAAUUAGGCAGCACGAGAUUUCCCCAUUAGGUCGUUUAUUCUCCUCAGCUGUUUAUUCCAUUUGCCUGUCCCUUGGUUGAGCGCCUUGUCUGUCUAUAACCGAAAGUGCGUUUCGGGUCAGAGAGACAGAAACAGACACAGGAAACCCUUUAAAGCGCCCCCGCCGACUUAAAUACGGUAGUGGAUUGGAGGUGGGGAGGUGUAGGGGAGGCGUUAUGUGGAGAGAAAGAAAAGAGAAAGAAUGAGGGAACGGCGGGAUUUCAAGCCUCCCCGCCCUUCUGCGACAACCUUUUCAGCGAAAGGGAAGGCUUAGGAAGAAAAGAUGUCCGCGCGUAGAGCAAACCGCAGUUCUUUCCUUUCUUUUUGAAGGAUUUGUACCAUGAGUUAAUUACACCAAAAGAUACGAGGGACUUUAUUAGAAAGGAGAUGCCGUUAGGAAAGAAAGGCCAGGACGGCCGAUCUAAAGGGAAUGGAGAAGGGAAGACUCAGACGCCCUCCCGAAAUUGGUGGUCUAGCCUGUGUUUUGUGCUAAAUGUUAUUUAACUUAAUGGCGUGGGAGUGAGAUGUUGAAUGCAGAGAUCUGGAAAUACCAGAUUUAGUGGUCCUGUUCCUCCUCCCCGACUCUUUUCACACCCAUUUAAUAAAAAGUUACAGUUUUUACACCCGUAUUGAUAAAUUUGGCGAUGUUGGCCAAGUAUUAUCUCGCCCCGCAGAUUUUGAAUUUUGUUGCACAAACCGAUGAAAUGAUUGCUUUGCUAUAAUUGUAAAACUUUUUUGGAACGAACCUGGAUUUUUUUUAUGCCUCUUCAUCUACUUUUUGCUUCAUUAGAGCCCUCUGGUUUUCCAAGAUCGACUGUCACACUUUGUUAUUUGUUGCUUCUCUAAAUCCUUUGAGAUGCUGCUCGCAGCUACGUAAAAAACGUUGGCCACUCAGGUAUUUGAUGGGCUUAGAAAGUCACCAAGAUGUGACACCAUUUAAAAGUUUUAGCUUGGUUUCUCAGUGAAAUAAGGGCAUCUCUGUUAAUUAGAAAACUUUGUGUUAGUCUGAGAUGCCUAAGAGCAUAGUCCAAAUUGAAAAUUCCAAUAUUUUGCCACAUCUGAAAUAUAAUUAUUUACACAGCCUUCUCUUUCAAAGGGAGGACAAACAGGUUGCCUUGAGAAGAGCUAUUCUAUUUGCAAUUGCUGGGGCAGGUGACAAACACGUGUGUAUCUGUGGGCAGCCUUGUUGGGCUGCCUUCCCUGACUACAAGGCUUUUGUGAGCUGGUAACGCCUUAAAAUGUGUGAGAAUGCUGCGCCCUAGGAGUGGAGGCCAAGGGCAAGAUCCUUGUACAUUUCAAUACCUUUUCCAACAUCAGGCUGGCAGCAGGCAGGCCAACCUAGGGUCACUGUGUGACACAUAUUUGCAAGCCAGUAAAGCAAAACAAAGCUGAAAGCAAGUGCAAAUUUAGGCCCACCAACCUUGAAGUCAUCCCUGAAAGGGAGCUGCUUUACUAGUUAAUUUUUCUUGCCCAGUCAGCCACACAAAAUGCAUUGUAUUUCUUGGCUUGCCCCAGUAAUUGCGACUUACUUGUUACAGCAGAAGCUUCAAGGUAGGAAAUCUAUGACCCAAAGCUCUCUCUCGAAAGUUAGAAUGUUUAAACUGAUCUUUAAAACUGUUGUUGAGGGGCAAUUUAUUUAAAAGCUUUUAUUUUAUGGUGUUGUUAGUGCUUAGCAUGCCUCAGGAUAAAGACUAGUUUUAUUGCAGGACCCUUGAGAAGAGGGGUGUAUAGCAAGUAACCAGUUUUCCGUGUGCCAGUAAGCAACAGUGAGAACACUCAGUGUAUUAGCUUAACUUUUUGUGGGAGUUAAAUUGAUGUUGGCAGGCUUUGCCUUUAAGGAAGUUCUUUUAAAUUUCCAUUUUCUUGAAGUUGGUUUGAUUGGCAGAUUUCCCCCCUCUCUUAAGGAUACAAUGAAACAUAUUCACUUCUCUUAUGAAAAUAUUCUUUUAAUAAACUACAUUCCCAUCCCCUAGAAAAAUGCCCAGCACACAGUAGGGGUACAAUAAAUGGUUUCAGAUUAAUUUCUUGUUAAAAUUAAUGAACUCUCUGCUUCUUUACUUGUAUAUGUAGAAUUUACACUCAUUGGAAUAAUAAAAUAGAAGUAAGCAACCGUGCAUUAAAAAGCUAUGAAAAGAUGAAGAGAAUAUGCCUUCAAAUGGGAAGGAAUACUUAACUGUGAAUAAGACCUAGUUCAACAUGGAACUUCCUGGUGGCCAAGUCAGAAGAGAAGCACAGUGAGUUUUCUAACUUUCAUAAUGAGAAAAGAGAAAGCACACUGUUUUUCAAAAAAGAAAGUUAUUACCCAGUCACUGAAUUCUAAAAGAACUUCAUGCUUGCCUUGUUCAUGGACUUCAAAUAAUUUAAUUAUUUAAAAUAAUUAUUUUGUCUAAAAUUCUCAUGUGUCUCUGUUAAUUAUAACAUGAAUAAUAGCAUUUACAUUAUGCAUAAAUGAAGACAAUAGUAUAUCUUCUAAUAGCUGUAUAAACCAUCUACUAAGCUGUCAAGAUUAAUUGACAUUAAUAAAACCACUGUCUCACAGAGUUCCAAAAAUAUGGAUUCUC
rnacentral:lncRNA from 1 species